UUUUUGUGAAAUUAUAAUUUUUUUGCUGUUUUUUUAAGUAUAGUUGUUGACAAAUUAUUAUUAGGUACAAUGCAUUACGUAUAUUAUUAUUAGGUACAAUACAUUACGUAUAUAUUAUAUGCGGGUACGUUUGAAUUUACAAAAAUCAUUAAUUGGUACGUUUAUUUGCAAUUUUGGUACGUUUGAUUUGAUACAUAUUGUUAAUAUUGGUACAUUUGAUUUGAUACAUAUUGUUAAUAUUGGUACAUUAUUUUUCUUUUGUACGCAUUGUGUAUUAGUACGUUUAUAUUAUUCUUAAUCCCAUUUUCUCUUGACGUACUAAAAGAAAAACCUAUUUCGGUACAUUUGAUUUUGUGGGAUUUAAAAAUAUUUUAAACUAUUUUGGAAAGAAAAUAUCUUAAAUCGUAGAUAAUUAUUGCUAAAUUGUAGCAUUAUUGUGAAAAUAAAUUGAAUCUAACCAAUUUUUUUUCUUCUAAUUAUCUCUAAAGGAGGAGAGUGUAAUUAAAAGGCUAGAUUAUAGGAAAUUUGUUACCAUAUAAUGUGCAUAUAGCACCAAAAUUAUGACAAAAAAAGUUUAAUCAAAUCACUAAAAGACAUGGAUGUUUAGUCUAAAAAAUUCAAAACUGAGGCGUCUAUAUCAAAAGAUCCCUAAAUUAAAAUUAAGAAU
rnacentral:lncRNA from 1 species